rnacentral:snoRNA from 1 species
AAGACUGUACUUUCAGGGGUCAUUUCUGUAGUUCAUUAAUAUAGUUUUCUGAGCAUUAGAGCACCAAAAAAAU